CACGUAGUUAGCCGGCGCUUCUUCUGCAGGUACACGUCAACUUCGUCCCUGCUGAAAGAGGUUUACAACCCGAAGGCCGUCAUCCCCCACGCGGCGUCGCUGCGUCAGGCUUCCGCCCAUUGCGCAAUAUUCCCCACUGCUGCCUCCCGUAGGAGUCUGGGCCGCGUCUCAGUCCCAGUGUGGCCGGUCGCCCUCUCAGGCCGGCUACCCGUCGUCGCCUUGGUAGGCCACUACCCCACCAACAAGCUGAUAGGCCGCGAGCCCAUCCCCGACCGAAAAAACUUUCCACCACCAGACCAUGCGGCCGGUGGUCGUAUCCGGUAUUAGACCCGGUUUCCCAGGCUUAUCCCAGAGUCAGGGGCAGGUUGCUCACGUGUUACUCACCCGUUCGCCGCUCGAGUACCCCCGAAGGGGCCUUUCCGCUCGACUUGCAUGUGUUAAGCACGCCGCCAGCGUUCGUCCUGAGCCACGGAGUCAAACUAC
rnacentral:rRNA from 1 species